CAGUAGCCGCGGUAAUACAGAGGGUGCGAGCGUUAAUCGGAUUUACUGGGCGUAAAGCGUGCGUAGGCGGCUUCUUAAGUCGGAUGUGAAAUCCCUGAGCUUAACUUAGGAAUUGCAUUUGAUACUGGGAAGCUAGAGUAUGGGAGAGGAUGGUAGAAUUCCAGGUGUAGCGGUGAAAUGCGUAGAGAUCUGGAGGAAUACCGAUGGCGAAGGCAGCCAUCUGGCCUAAUACUGACGCUGAGGUACGAAAGCAUGGGGAGCAAACAGGAUUAGAUACCCCUGUAGUCCCUGUCUCUUAUAC
rnacentral:rRNA from 1 species